CAACUACUCCCUCUGUCCCAAAAUUUCUUGUCUUAGAUUUGUCUAGAUACGGAUGUAUCUAAUACUAAAAUGUGACUUGAUACAUCCGUAUCUAGACAAAUCUAAGACAAGAAUUUUGGGACGGAGGGAGUACUUU
rnacentral:pre_miRNA from 1 species